rnacentral:rRNA from 1 species
UCAUAACCAAAACGACUCUCGGCAACGGAUAUCUCGGCUCUCGCAUCGAUGAAGAACGUAGCGAAAUGCGAUACUUGGUGUGAAUUGCAGAAUCCCGUGAACCAUCGAGUUUUUGAACGCAAGUUGCGCCCAAAACCUUCGGGUCGAGGGCACGUCUGCCUGGG